CACGUAGGGUGCGAGCGUUGUCCGGAAUUAUUGGGCGUAAAGAGCUCGUAGGCGGUGUGUCGCGUCGGCCGUGAAAACCCUGCAGCUUAACUGUGGGCUUGCGGUCGAUACGGGCAUCACUGGAGUUCGGCAGGGGAGACUGGAAUUCCUGGUGUAGCGGUGAAAUGCGCAGAUAUCAGGAGGAACACCGGUGGCGAAGGCGGGUCUCUGGGCCGAUAAUUGACG
rnacentral:rRNA from 1 species